rnacentral:rRNA from 1 species
UGUAUUUUGACUGUGCUAAGGUAGCGAAAUCAUUAGUUUUUUUAUUGAAAACUUGUAUGAGGGGAUUAAUAGAGGUUUUUUUAUGAAAUAAGUAGUUAGAGAAUUUUAUUUUUCUAUGAAAAGUUAGAAGAUUUUCUAAAGACGAGAAGACCCUAAAAUCUUUAUUUUAGAGUGAUGUUCUUUAAUUUUUGUUUGGGGGAAAAUUUUAUUUUUAUAGGAAAAUUUUUUAUGAGGAACUUUUGUGAGGUUGAUUGGAUAGAUACUUUAGGGAUAACAGGAUAAUUUUUUUUUGAAGUUCUUAUUUUAGGAUGAGAUUAUUACCUCGAUGUUGGCUUUUGA